rnacentral:tRNA from 1 species
GGGGACUUGAUGUAACGGGAACAUGCGAUCCUUGCAAGAUUGCUACAGGGGUUCAACUCCCCUAGUCUCCAC